CUUAAAGUGAAACGUGGUGAGAAGGGUUCUGCACCCCCAUAAGAAACAGGUUUGUAAAUGGAGGAGAUGAAGAGGGACCACAGAGAAGAGGGUCCGGCAAGGAACCCCCAAGCUAUGACUUUCAGCUUUGGUUCCACACUGAGAUCAAACUAUGGUUUGAAAUCGUGGUGUCGGCAGAUGUUCUCCGAGGAGAUGGCGCUGUCCACCCCCAUGGGCCUUCUCCGGCGGUUCCUUCUUCUGAAACAAGUGACGGUACUUCUGUCCCCCCGUUGCGCCAUGCUGCCCCUGGUGGUGGGUUGUGUGAUCAGCAUGAAGGCCCUGUCGUUGCUGCGCUCGCCCCACAUCUCAACCAAGCCCUCCAGCGUCUUCCUGCGGCAGCUUGCCCUUGCAGGCCUCCUCCCACUCCCCUACCUGGCACUGCGGCUGGCGCUGACCACCCUCGACCUCGCCGUGAUGGAGGCUGCUGCGCCGGGAGAGGUGGCCCAGGAGACAGCAGGAAGGGGUUAAGGGAGAAUCCUCCUCACGUGUAAUGGCCAAGUGGACCGAAGAAAUGGAGGAGCAGCUGAUUGCACUGGUGGAAGAGAGACCACCGUUGUACAACAUCACGCUACAGGGCUAUUCCAAACGGAAUAGGAAGGAUCAACUGUGGCGUGAGAUCGAAAGCGAGCUCCAUCUAUCAGGCAAAGAAGUUCGUAGGAAAUGGGAUAACCUCCGUACGACCUACAAUCGCUUUAAAAAAACGGGCCCGAGGACGACGAGACAACAGUGGACCCUCGAUCGGAUGCAGUUCAUUGAGCCACACACCAAGAGGAAGGAGAACACCUCCAACCUCAAUCGCAGGGAAUUGUGUGAGGCUGGGGCGCCUGAGGGGGCGAGCAUGGUGACCGAUUCCUCUCUGGAGGGCAAUGGCAGCACACUACCAGAGGAGACCGAGUUGGACAUCCCGCUGGCUGGCUCCCCGAUUGCAGAGUCGGCCAUCUGUGCUUUUCUUGGAAAUUCACAACCUGCUGCUUUACUGGACACUCGUGAUAAGGGAGAGUCCUCCUCACGUAUAAUGUUCAAGUGGACCGAAGAAAUGGAGGAGCAACUGAUUGCUCUGGUGGAAGACAGACCACCGUUGUACAACAUCACGCUACAGGGCUAUUCCAACCGGAAUAGGAAGGAUCAACUUUGGCGUGAGAUCGAGAGCAAGCUCCAUCUAUCAGGGAAAGAAGUGCGGAGGAAAUGGGACAACCUCCGUACGACCUACAAUCGCUUUAAAAAAACGGCUCCUUUGGGAAGCUCAGGGGCCCCGAGGACAACGAGACAACAUUGGACCCUCAAUCGGAUGCAGUUCAUUGAGCCACACACCAAGAGGAAGGAGAGCACGUCCAACCUUCCUCGCAAGGAAUUGUGUGAUGCGGGGGCGCCUGAGGGGGCGAGCAUGGUGACCGAUUCCUCUUCGGAGGGCAAUGGCAGCACACUACCAGAGGAGCCGGAGGUGGACAUCCCGCUGGCUGGCUCCCCGACCAUCUGUGAGGGUACACUCCCUGGGGUUUUGGAGUGCAGUUUGACCUCCGGAGGUACUGACCAACGCCAGCGUCAGCCCGCAAAGCGGAAAAAGAAGCGUGGGGAUCGGGCCGUGAAUGAGGAGGUGGUGCUCAUGCAGACCAUCGGCAAAACCCUGGAAAGGAUGGCAACAGGAGCACCACGGCAAGAGGAGCACAACGACUACAUUUCGGUGUGCUGCAAGCGGAUUGAACACCGGCUGCGAAUGCUCCCGCAGCAUCAGCUCGCACAGUUUGAGUAUGAGAUGGACUGCCUGCUCUACAGGUUUUCCCAGAACCAGAUCCAGGAAACUGACUGAAAGGACCUUACUCCUCUGGCAACGGACUGAAAGGACAUAAGUCCUCUAUGAUAUUUAUAUUUGUGCCUUUUCCCUUUUUACUGCUCUGGAAUACGGUACACCACUUUAGAUAAAAAAAUUUAAUAAAUUAUAAGCUGUUUUCUUCCUGUCUCCUUUUUUCUAUAUUUGAACAUAGGCUAUAUGCAGGGGUGUUGUGGUAAAAUAAGAUGUGGGUAAUAUAUGAGGAUGGCAGAUAUUGAAUCCCGAUAGUUGGUAUUUUUACGCUGAAUAAUUGUGAUUUAUUCCUCCAACAUCUGGAACUUCAUCGCCAGUUCCCGACACAGAAACUGAUAAGCUCCUUUUGCCUGCCGCUGUGGGAUCCACGACUUCAC
ensembl:lncRNA